rnacentral:rRNA from 1 species
CCCUAUUGUUAGUUGCCAUCAUUCAGUUGGGCACUCUAGCGAGACUGCCGGUAAUAAACCGGAGGAAGGUGGGGAUGACGUCAAAUCAUCAUGCCCCUUAUGACCUGGGCUACACACGUGCUACAAUGGCUGGUACAACGAGUCGCAAGCCGGUGACGGCAAGCUAAUCUCUGAAAGCCAGUCUCAGUUCGGAUUGUAGGCUGCAACUCGCCUACAUGAAGUCGGAAUCGCUAGUAAUCGCGGAUCAGCACGCCGCGGUGAAUACGUUCCCGGGCCUUGUACACACCGCCCGUCACACCACGAGAGUUUGUAACACCCGAAGUCGGUGAGGUAACCGUAAGGAGCCAGCCGCCUAAGGUGGGAUAGAUGAUUGGGGUGAAGUCGUAACAAGGUAGCCG